UACGUAGGGUGCAAGCGUUGUCCGGAAUUAUUGGGCGUAAAGAGCUCGUAGGCGGUUUGUCGCGUCUGCUGUGAAAACUCGGGGCUUAACUCCGGGCCUGCAGUGGGUACGGGCAGACUAGAGUGCGGUAGGGGAGACUGGAAUUCCUGGUGUAGCGGUGAAAUGCGCAGAUAUCAGGAGGAACACCGGUGGCGAAGGCGGGUCUCUGGGCCGAUACUGACGCUGAGACGCGAAAGCGUGGGGAGCAAACAGG
rnacentral:rRNA from 1 species